GAUGAACGCUGGCGGCGUGCCUAAUACAUGCAAGUCGAGCGAACAGACGAGGAGCUUGCUCCUCUAACGUUAGCGGCGGACGGGUGAGUAACACGUGGAUAACCUACCUAUAAGACUAGGAUAACUUCGGGAAACCGGAGCUAAUACCGGAUAAUAUAUUGAACCGCAUGGUUCAAUAGUGAAAGACGGUUUUGCUGUCACUUAUAGAUGGAUCCGCGCCGCAUUAGCUAGUUGGUAAGGUAACAGCUUACCAAGGCAACGAUGCGUAGCCGACCUGAGAGGGUGAUCGGCCACACUGGAACUGAGACACGGUCCAGACUCCUACGGGAGGCAGCAGUAGGGAAUCUUCCGCAAUGGGCAAAAGCCUGACGGAGCAACGCCGCGUGAGUGAUGAAGGUCUUCGGAUCGUAAAACUCUGUUAUUAGGGAAGAACAAAUGUGUAAGUAACUAUGCACGUCUUGACGGUACCUAAUCAGAAAGCCACGGCUAACUACGUGCCAGCCGCCGCGGUAA
rnacentral:rRNA from 1 species